UACGGAGGGUGCAAGCGUUAUCCGGAUUCACUGGGUUUAAAGGGUGCGUAGGUGGGCAGGUAAGUCAGUGGUGAAAUCUCCGGGCUUAACCCGGAAACUGCCAUUGAUACUAUCUGUCUUGAAUACCGUGGAGGUGAGCGGAAUAUGUCAUGUAGCGGUGAAAUGCUUAGAUAUGACAUAGAACACCAAUUGCGAAGGCAGCUCACUACGCGAAUAUUGACACUGAGGCACGAAAGCGU
rnacentral:rRNA from 1 species